GAUAAACGCUGGCGGCGUGCCUAAUACAUGCAAGUCGAGCGAACGGACGAGAAGCUUGCUUCUCUGAUGUUAGCGGCGGACGGGUGAGUAACACGUGGAUAACCUACCUAUAAGACUGGGAUAACUUCGGGAAACCGGAGCUAAUACCGGAUAAUAUUUUGAACCGCAUGGUUCAAAAGUGAAAGACGGUCUUGCUGUCACUUAUAGAUGGAUCCGCGCUGCAUUAGCUAGUUGGUAAGGUAACGGCUUACCAAGGCAACGAUGCAUAGCCGACCUGAGAGGGUGAUCGGCCACACUGGAACUGAGACACGGUCCAGACUCCUACGGGAGGCAGCAGUAGGGAAUCUUCCGCAAUGGGCGAAAGCCUGACGGAGCAACGCCGCGUGAGUGAUGAAGGUCUUCGGAUCGUAAAACUCUGUUAUUAGGGAAGAACAUAUGUGUAAGUAACUGUGCACAUCUUGACGGUACCUAAUCAGAAAGCCACGGCUAACUACGUGCCAGCAGCCGCGGUAAUACGUAGGUGGCAAGCGUUAUCCGGAAUUAUUGGGCGUAAAGCGCGCGUAGGCGGUUUUUUAAGUCUGAUGUGAAAGCCCACGGCUCAACCGUGGAGGGUCAUUGGAAACUGGAAAACUUGAGUGCAGAAGAGGAAAGUGGAAUUCCAUGUGUAGCGGUGAAAUGCGCAGAGAUAUGGAGGAACACCAGUGGCGAAGGCGACUUUCUGGUCUGUAACUGACGCUGAUGUGCGAAAGCGUGGGGAUCAAACAGGAUUAGAUACCCUGGUAGUCCACGCCGUAAACGAUGAGUGCUAAGUGUUAGGGGGUUUCCGCCCCUUAGUGCUGCAGCUAACGCAUUAAGCACUCCGCCUGGGGAGUACGACCGCAAGGUUGAAACUCAAAGGAAUUGACGGGGACCCGCACAAGCGGUGGAGCAUGUGGUUUAAUUCGAAGUAACGCGAAGAACCUUACCAAAUCUUGACAUCCUUUGACAACUCUAGAGAUAGAGCCUUCCCCUUCGGGGGACAAAGUGACAGGUGGUGCAUGGUUGUCGUCAGCCCGUGUCGUGAGAUGUUGGGUUAAGCCCCGCAACGAGCGCAACCCUUAAGCUUAGUUGCCAUCAUUAAGUUGGGCACUCUAAGUUGACUGCCGGUGACAAACCGGAGGAAGGUGGGGAUGACGUCAAAUCAUCAUGCCCCUUAUGAUUUGGGCUACACACGUGCUACAAUGGACAAUACAAAGGGCAGCGAAACCGCGAGGUCAAGCAAAUCCCAUAAAGUUGUUCUCAGUUCGGAUUGUAGUCUGCAACUCGACUACAUGAAGCUGGAAUCGCUAGUAAUCGUAGAUCAGCAUGCUACGGUGAAUACGUUCCCGGGUCU
rnacentral:rRNA from 1 species